CCGCGUAAUCAGAGUGCAACGUUAUCGGAUUACUGGCGUAACCGCGCGUAGCGGCUAAUUAGUCAAAUGUGAAUCCCGAGCUAACUUGGACUGCAUCGAUACUGUUACUAGAGUGUGGAGAGGAGGUAGAUUCCAGGUGUAGCGGUGAAAUGCGUAGAGAUCUGGAGGAAUGCCGAUGGCGAAGGCAGCCAUCUGGCCUAACACUGACGCUGAGGUGCGAAAGCAUGGGAGCAAACAGGAUUAGAUACCCUGGUAGUCCAUGCCGUAAACGAUGUCUACUAGCCGUUGGGGCCUUUGAGGCUUUAGUGGCGCAGCUAACGCGAUAAGUAGACCGCCUGGGGAGUACGGUCGCAAGACUAAAACUCAAAUGAAUUGACGGGGGCCCGCACAAGCGGUGGAGCAUGUGGUUUAAUUCGAUGCAACGCGAAGAACCUUACCUGGCCUUGACAUAGUAAGAACUUUCCAGAGAUGGAUUGGUGCCUUCGGGAACUUACAUACAGGUGCUGCAUGGCUGUCGUCAGCUCGUGUCGUGAGAUGUUGGGUUAAGUCCCGCAACGAGCGCAACCCUUUUCCUUAUUUGCCAGCGAGUAAUGUCGGGAACUUUAAGGAUACUGCCAGUGACAAACUGGAGGAAGGCGGGGACGACGUCAAGUCAUCAUGGCCCUUACGGCCAGGGCUACACACGUGCUACAAUGGUCGGUACAAAGGGUUGCUACCUAGCGAUAGGAUGCUAAUCUCAAAAAGCCGAUCGUAGUCCGGAUUGGAGUCUGCAACUCGACUCCAUGAAGUCGGAAUCGCUAGUAAUCGCGGAUCAGAAUGCCGCGGUGAAUACGUUCCCGGGCCUUGUACACACCGCCCGUCACACCAUGGGAGUUUGUUGCACCAGAAGUAGCUAGCCUAACUGCAAAGAGGGCGGUACCACGGUGCACCA
rnacentral:rRNA from 1 species